CACUCCUGCGGGAGGCAGCAGUGGGGAAUAUUGGACAAUGGGCGCAAGCCUGAUCCAGCCAUGCCGCGUGAGUGAUGAAGGCCCUAGGGUUGUAAAGCUCUUUCACCGGUGAAGAUAAUGACGGUAACCGGAGAAGAAGCCCCGGCUAACUUCGUGCCAGCAGCCGCGGUAAUACGAAGGGGGCUAGCGUUGUUCGGAUUUACUGGGCGUAAAGCGCACGUAGGCGGACUAUUAAGUCAGGGGUGAAAUCCCGGGGCUCAACCCCGGAACUGCCUUUGAUACUGGUAGUCUUGAGUUCGAGAGAGGGGAGUGGAAUUCCGGGUGUAGAGGUGAAAUUCGUAGAUAUUCGGAGGAACACCAGUGGCGAAGGCGGCUCACUGGCUCGAUACUGACGCUGAGGUGCGAAAGCGUGGGGAGCAAACAGGAUUAGAUACCCUAGUAGUCCCAUG
rnacentral:rRNA from 1 species